GGAAAUUCUAAAUUUAAACCAUUUCUAGUGAAACGACCUACCAAACAGCGACUUGCCUAUGGAGUAAGUAAAGACAAGAUCACAAGACAAGACAGGCGCGCCGUGUGGGCAGCCAUGAGACCCAAAUGGUUAUUAACCAGCAAAUUAGCGAAAACAAGAAUCGGUUACAGAGCGUGCAAUAAACUUCAAUUUAUCAAAUAAAAAUUCGCAUUGGCUCAAUUAAGAAAUUAAUAGAGUAGGUACAUCAUCCAGAGAACCACAUUCCAUGCUCCCACAUAAAUGUGUCACUCCUCGAAUAGUGGAUACAGUACAGAGAGCGCGUGGGUUCCGCGACAGGACUGUUUGCGAGUUUAUUGCAAAAGUUUGUACUGGCAUAGACCACAGCCGAUGUAGGUGUUACUUGGUCUCGAUAACAUGUAUUUGUCAUUGAUGGUUUAAUAUUGAUAGAUGUGCACUUUCUUCAUACCACCCACCAUGUUAAUUCAUUGGUUGUAAUCAGUAGGUAUUAACAAUUUAAAUAAUAUUACGCCUAUUAGUGUCAGACUAUAGUAUUGUCAAGUGAAAGUUUUCGAUGGAAAAGUUUGGUAACAUGAUAUACCCUUUUAUAUUCGUUGCCUACUAUAACAGUUAUAGUAAUAUUGGGAAAGAUUCUAUUUUCUCUACAUAUUUACUUGAUGUUACUUCAAAUUUUCCAGAAUUUUUUAUUGAAGGUAAUAAAAUAUAAUAAAUAUAGUAAUAAUUUAAUUAGGUAAAAGUCAGAUCAGUCUCAAACGAGUUACAGAGUACAUAGUAAAUAUAUUUAAACUAAGGCAACGAAUAUAAAAGGGUAUAUCAUGUUACCAAACUUUUCCAUUAAAAACUUUCACUUGACAUUUGAAGUAACACCAAGUAAACGUGUAGACAAAAUAGAAUCUUUCCCAAUAUUACUAUAACUGUCCUCGAUGAGAAGUGUUAGGAAUAAUAAAAUAUUAAAUCGAAAAAUAAGUCAUAGAAAUUCUUAUUUCAUUACUUCCUUUCUAAUUCAAAACUUGCAGUAAAAUUAUUAUUUACCAUUUAAUCGAAACGGUCACAUAAGCAAAAUGUUUUAAAAUUGUAAUGAAUAUAUUAGCUUGUCUUGUUUAUAAUAUUCCUUAUAACUGUAUAUGACACAGCACUCUAAGGAAAUAUGAAUAUAAUCAAGUGACCGUUAGAAUGUUAUAGACGUUCAAUCGACGUUGAACGUUUCCAAAAACGUAUUUGUUUAUUAUCUUAACACGUUUGAAUCUCGAACAUCACAACAUUUUAAUAGCAUCUUAUAAAUCAUAGCUAUCUUCAGGUAAAACCUAAAUAUUAUAAUAGCCUCUAGAUAGGAGAAGUAUGAUAGUAAUUAGUCAGUCAAAAUCAGAACAAUAUUUAACUUACAGUUUACUAUAUUAUUGUAAAAUUAAUAAACACCUAUGUAAGAUUGUUUUGUUUUAUUGCUUUAUUGCAUUCUAUUAUAAUUUAAUUUCUCUUGUUAUAUUUUAGGUACAUGAAAGUUUGUUAGUCAUUGUAUUCAUUGGAGACAUAAUUCAAUUCCUAAAUAACAUUUAAAAUAUUUCGUUCACAUUGUAUUAGUUACCACAAAAUUACGAGCUAGUAACGAAUCAUAGUACUAUGGAAAUUAAAUGAUUGAAGUGAAUAUUUCUAGGUAGAUACAAACAGUUUUAAAGAGAACUAUAAAACAAGUAGUGUUAAGAAUUUUAAAUAUAGCCGUGAAUAAUGGAAUUGGUUCCACUGAAAAAUGUUAUCGGUUGUUCGAGUUAUUCGACUAGCCUUGCAACUGCUUCUUAUAUUCACUGGUUAUUUGAAUUAUGUCGGUCAUUUUAAUCCUUCUGUAGGUAUCCUUUUCUCAUAAGUAUAGGUCACUAAGACUUCUAGAUCGUCUUAUUCUAUACUUUUUAUUUAUUUUCUUCUUUUUGGGAAACUAAACUAAUAUUACAAAUUUGAAAAGAAAACCAAAUAUUAUAUACGAGAAGACAAUAUUUCAGUUACUGGCAAAUGCUGUCGCUAUAGAUUUGUCAAUUAAUCUCCUUUUUAAUAUUGGAUGAAUAUUGGAUGGAUACGUGGUCUAGUGUUUUGAGUAGUCAUGCUCACUAAAAUGUCCAGACUUGUGGCGGCGUGGUGGGCCGGGUCAUUGGGCUCCCUAAAAUAUGGUCGAGCGCAGUGAUGGCUGGCUCAUCCGUCAUACUCGUGAACGGGUGCUGCUUGUAGGGACUGGUCUGCUCUAAUCACUAUGACUGAUUUCCUCUUAUUAAUUGUUUAACCAGUUGGUUAUGUAUUCAAUUUUUUUUUUCUUUUUGAGUAUUUAAUUGAAUUAGUGCUAAUUGGUGGUUUGUAUUCACACAAUUAAACUUAAAAAUGUAAAAUAAUAAUAAAAUUAUUUAAAAGAGCAUCACGCAAGUUUCUUGCUCGUUCUUCUUGUGAUGAGACAGCUUUCCGAACGAGCGGUAAAUUAAAAAAAAUGUAAUGACUUUUCAAAAGUGCUUCAAUGUAAGUUUAUUUGAAUAAAUGAUUUCUAUUCUAUUCUAUUCUAUUCUGAUGCAUACAUUAUACCCAAUCCAACUAUUGCUCUGAUAUUCUAUGUCCCAGGUUAUCAAUAAUUUUCAUCGUAUAGUACCUACCUAUAUUCUAUAGACAGAGUAUCAAGUCUCAAAGACCGGUCAACUUUUUGUCAGCUAAUUGGUAAAUUAGCUGACUCUUUUUUAUCAGUAUUCUAUAUACUUAUGUAACGAUAUAUCUUAACGUAUUAUUUAAUAAGGAAAAUGAGUAUUUACGCAUUUAAAAGAUGCAGAAAUUAUAAGACAAAAUUAAUAUAGAAAUUAUAAUGGAAUCACUCAUAACUAUUUAUCACGUAAAAUUGUAUGAUAACCGCUUUUCUCGAAGCAUUUGUAUGGAGACACUCUAUCUAUACAUAUAAUCAAAGAGUAGCUAUUACAAAAACAACCAGCACAAGUUCAACAUGGACAUUACAUAUUAUCCUGUUCUUCUUAAUGUUAACUUGAGAGCUAUCCAUUGAAAAUAACUAUAUUGAGGCCAUUGAUAAUAGUGAUUAUGCCAUGUUUAGGACAUGUCUUAGAGGACAUAAUUAGUUUUUAGUAGUUAGAGAACAUAAUAUAUAAUGCCCAUGUCGCACUUGUGCUGGUUUCCUGUUGUUGUGCUACUUCCAUGGUGAAUUCCUAGAGAGAUUCUAUUAAGAUUGCGACAAAACGAAAUGGAUUAAUGUGUUUGUCAUAUUUAUAGUUAUAUCUGUCAAUGUGUUUGUAUAUGUAUCAAUAUAUUUCAUAAUGAAAAUAUUAUAAAUUAAAUUUCAUUAAAAUAAAUACACGUUUAUUUUAAAAUAUGUUCAUGAUCGCUAUCGAUAUUCAUUUUUAGUGAAUUCAUAUUUAUAUUUAGGUCUGCAUAAAACCAUUUCUUUAAUGAAUCAACAGCGAGGUAUUUGAUGGUAAACAGUGUUUUUUUUUUUUUUUGUAAUAGAAUCCAACUAUAGACUUCCAUCUAUGUUAAACCAUUGUAUAAUGAUACUGUUAAUGGAUCUUUAAAAGAACUACCUACGUGUAGAAUCGGUUACAUUAAUUACAUUUAAAUAUUUUGAGUGAUUAUGAUAAAAUUCGCAUUAACAUGAAAUUUCAAACAAGAACUUGGUAGUCUAUAUUAAACCUUAACCACAUAAAUAAUUAUUUUAUAUUAAUGACACCAGUUGGUUUCUAAUAAACAUGGCAUAUGUAACUG